GAGGCAGGAUCUCACUCUCUUGCCCCAGGCUGGAGUACAGUGGUACCAUCAUUGCUCACUGCAGCAGCCUCAGACUCCCGGACUCAAGUGAUCCUCCUGCCUCAGCCUCCUGAGUAGCUAGCACUACAGGUGAGCACCAACAUGCCUGCCUCAUUUUUUAAAUUUUUUUGUAGAGACAACGUCUCAAUAUGUUGCCCAGGCUGGUCUCAAACUCCUGGCCUCACCUCGAGCAAUCCUUCCACCUCUGCACACCGAAGUGCUGAGAUUUCAAGUAUGAGCCGCUGCCUCCUGCCCACUUAGCCCUUUCUAACACUAGAGAACUUUGAGAGUGGUUUCAAUACCAACUGGACACUUCCCAGCGGUUUAACCUCAGGCAAAUCAAACUCCCAUGCCUCAGUUUCCACAUAUAUAGAGAUAAUAAAAGUACCUCCUCAAAGAGUUUGUUAUGAGAACUAAAUGAGUUAAUGUUAGGCAAGCGACUGGAACAUGAUAGACACAAUAUGUAUUAGCCAUUAUCACCUUUAUCUCAGUGUUAUAUUGGCCACCACCCAGAGAUACCCAGGAGCACACACAUCACAUUCUUUCUACAGCAAUAUGUGGGCACGAUUACUUCAUGACCACUGAAUCUAAAACAGCACAGCUUGGUAAGACACAGCGGUCGGAUCCCACCUACUGCAACACCUCUAAGAGGCGACCCUCACAAACCAGCCAUGCUUAGCCUGAGACAUUCCGAAGACCUCCUCUUGAUUACCUUACUCGACGAACUUAUUCCUUUGAAAAUGGAACUAGCCGCACUUUUGGACCAGUGUGCCUCGGAUACACUUCCAAAUGUGUCAACCUGAAUCUCAGAAGUUGGCGUGAUUUUAAAAAGUUUUUUAAGUUCUUUUUCCUAAACAUGUCCUAGUAGGUGACUCCACAGCAUUACUUUCUUUCAUGUUCUCUUUUCUAUCUGGAAAUCCGGUGAUAGGGGACGAAACCAGCAAAGCACCCUUUUUCUUGCUUCCCAAACGUUAGCAGGUAAGCGCCCCUUGAGCCGAGACACAUCAAGAAGACCUCACCCGCAAGUUCAUUGAUCACCGGUUCUUUUCCCUUUCCGGCACUAGGAGCUGCGAAGCACGACAUGGGCUUGGAGGAAGAGACGCUGCGGUCACCUGAGGGGCAGGUGAGAGCGGGCGGUCCUGCCCGGGUGUGAGCGCGACAUCCCGCGCGGCACACACGCUCACAGCCCCCAGAGAAAGGGAGGGAGAGCGCACCGCGCGACCGGCCGCCACAGUCU
rnacentral:lncRNA from 1 species